rnacentral:misc_RNA from 1 species
GAAAUGCGAUAAGUAAUGUGAAUUGCAGAAUUCAGUGAAUCAUCGAAUCUUUGAACGCACAUUGCGCCCGCCAGUAUUCUGGCGGGCAUGCCUGUUCGAGCGUCAUUACAACCCUCAGGCCCCCGGGCCUGGCGUUGGGGAUCGGCGGAAGCCCCCUGCGGGCACAACGCCGUCCCCCAAAUACAGUGGCGGUCCCGCCGCAGCUUCCAUUGCGUAGUAGCUAACACCUCGCAACUGGAGAGCGGUGCGGCCACGCCGUAAAACACCCAACUUCUGAAUGUUGACCUCGAAUCAGGUAGGAAUACCCGCUGAACUUAAGC